CCUACGGGUGGCUGCAGUGGGGAAUAUUGGACAAUGGGCGAAAGCCUGAUCCAGCCAUGCCGCGUGUGUGAAGAAGGCCUUCGGGUUGUAAAGCACUUUCAGUGAGGAAGAAAGCCUUGGGGCUAAUACCCUCGAGGAAGGACAUCACCCACAGAAGAAGCACCGGCUAACUCCGUGCCAGCAGCCGCGGUAAUACGGAGGGUGCGAGCGUUAAUCGGAAUUACUGGGCGUAAAGCGCGCGUAGGCGGUCUGAUAAGCCGGUUGUGAAAGCCCCGGGCUCAACCUGGGAACGGCAUCCGGAACUGUCAGGCUAGAGUGCAGGAGAGGAAGGUAGAAUUCCCGGUGUAGCAGUGAAAUGCGUAGAGAUCGGGAGGAAUACCAGUGGCGAAGGCGGCCUUCUGGACUGACACUGACGCUGAGGUGCGAAAGCGUGGGUAGCAAACAGGAUUAGAUACCCCUGUAGUC
rnacentral:rRNA from 1 species